rnacentral:rRNA from 1 species
CAGGAACGCUGGCGGCAGGCUUAACACAUGCAAGUCGAGCGCCCCGCAAGGGGAGCGGCAGACGGGUGAGUAACGCGUGGGAAUCUACCCAUCUCUACGGAAUAACGCAUGGAAACGUGUGCUAAUACCGUAUACGUCCUUCGGGAGACAGAUUUAUCGGGGAUGGAUGAGCCCGCGUUGGAUUAGCUAGUUGGUGGGGUAAAGGCCUACCAAGGCGACGAUCCAUAGCUGGUCUGAGAGGAUGAUCAGCCACACUGGGACUGAGACACGGCCCAGACUCCUACGGGAGGCAGCAGUGGGGAAUAUUGGACAAUGGGCGCAAGCCUGAUCCAGCCAUGCCGCGUGAGUGAUGAAGGCCCUAGGGUUGUAAAGCUCUUUCACCGGUGAAGAUAAUGACGGUAACCGGAGAAGAAGCCCCGGCUAACUUCGUGCCAGCCGCCGCCGUAACAC